UUUUUAAAAUACAGCCGUGGUUACUUUUCCUUAUAUUUCCCUCCUUCUGUGAAUUUUUCGUUUUGCCUUUUCUUCUUCUUUUUUCGUUCACUAGGACUUUUCACUCUGCAAGGUAUCAAGGCUGCCUUCAAAUUGAAGCUCAAGGACAGAAAAAGGAGGGAGAAGUCAAGACAAUUGAAGAUU
rnacentral:ribozyme from 1 species